GGGGAUAUAGCUCAGCUGGGAGAGCGCCGCACUUGCACUGCGGAGGUCAGCAGUUCGAUCCUGCUUAUCUCCA
rnacentral:tRNA from 1 species